CAUAUAUCACAGAGAAAUUCCCACCUCUCUCUCUCUCCCCCCGAUCUCAUCACUUCACCUCCACCGCAGUUGCCGCCUCCUCCACUGUUACACGAACUGUACCUUCUAGCCAGCUCGGAGACCGAUCCGAAUGCAGUGGUGCAAAAUCGGCGGCGGUAGAGGGACUUAGCGUCGGAUUGAGGAUCUCAAAUAGUCUGGUGGCUGCCCAUGCCCAUGCUAUUCUACGGGAUGAAGCAAUCACUGUUGGAACUGGAUGCCUCGCUUCUCUGUGCCUUUGACAAAUCUGCUUUAGUCUUGGCUUCACAUGCUUCCAUCUGUGCUUGGAGGGACCUAAUGGGAACAUUGUUCAACAGAGAAACACUUUCAUUCAGGAAACAAAAUGAAUCACAAUGAUUUGGGCUGCAUUCAAGAGUGACCCAAAUGAUGAAGAAGCUUUGAGAGCUAUUGAUCUUUUCUAUGACACAACUUUAAUUUCUAGUGGUUCCACUGUAAGUGACUUGUUUUGUAUCUUUUAUAUUAUAUGUCUACAUCAUAUUUGCAUUCAGUAGUUAUGAAUUUAGUGGGAACAGCCCUUUCGGGAAUUUCUCUGGAAAAGGCUAGAGAAAUUCAAGAGAGAGAAUUUCUUUGGAAAAGGCCAGAGAAAUUCCCAUAAUUUGCUUGACACCAGGAGUGAAGGCAAGCAAAGCAUGCUACUUAGGUGUCUGACCAUCCUUGGAAUUUCUUUGGCUGUAUGAAAUUUCUCUGGUUGUAUGAAUUUUCUCUGGGUGUAUGAAAUUUCUCUAGUUGUAUGAAAUUUCUUUGGUUGUGAUCA